rnacentral:rRNA from 1 species
UACGUAGGGUCCGAGCGUUGUCCGGAAUUAUUGGGCGUAAAGGGCUCGUAGGCGGUUCGUCACGUCGGGAGUGAAAACUUGGGGCUUAACCCUGAGCUUGCGGUCGAUACGGGCAUGACUGGAGUUCGGCAGGGGAGACUGGAAUUCCUGGUGUAGCGGUGAAAUGCGCAGAUAUCAGGAGGAACACCGGUGGCGAAGGCGGGUCUCUGGGCCGAUACUGACGCUGAGGAGCGAAAGCGUGGGUAGCGAACAGG